UGCCUUUGUGUUGCCCAUUCACUACUUUUUACAGUGAAUGUGGUGUCAGAAAAGGCACAUAUUAACCCUGGCUGUCAUGUGUUCAGGAGUGGAUUGUGUAACUUCUCCACAUUUCAGCUAGAACACAC
ensembl:snoRNA